GGGCUCCAACGGUGGAGUUGAUAUAAGCGUUAUCUUCCAGCUUUUCAUCGGUGGUUCUUCCGCUCCAUUUCAUCUCUGCCUUUUGUUUGGGUUCGCUUCUCUCUCUCCCCAUUUUCAACUUCUGCUUAUGUUGGGGCCUAGGUUUUUUUUCCUCGCUCACGCCUUCGUUGUUCUUGCUGUCCACCUAUCGCCUUUCUCUCACCGAUUAUCCACGGCCGUUUUCUUUCCGAAAAACUAACGUUGUCUGGAAAAGUUAUGGAUACGAUCUAAGGUUUGCUGCAAAAGUUGUUGUUCGAAUUUUGGCCUUUCUGUCUGCAACCUUGCAAGCUGAUUGCGAUCAAGGGGUUUCUCAAUCUGUUGUCUGGACUGAAGAAAAGGAGGAUGGGGCUCUCGAAAUUUCAGAUCCGAGAAAAGACAAAGGUGCAAAAUCAUUUUGGGUUUGCAUGCAACCAAGCUUCUCUGAUGCAAACCAACAGGUACGGCGGUAGAAUCAAACUCUCGAGGUUUGGAAUUUUGUUCCCUUCUUUUUUUUGGAGUAAUUUUUUGGGUUUCUUCUCGCUUUUGUUAUGAAAAUAAGAGAUUAAUAAGAUGCAUAGGAGGCUUCCAUCUUUCUAUCUUUCAAAUAUUUGAUGAUAAACUAUUGUGGGCUAAAGCAUCAAAUUUUUGUGAAUUAUGAAAUUGUUAGUCACACUCUGUUUUUAUAAGGAUUUUUUGUAUUGGCUAUGUGAACCUUUUUGUGCAACCCCUUUUAUAUUACAAUUGCUAAUUUAGUUGUCAAAACUCCUGUAAUUUUGUUCUCAAAACAAUUGUUAGUCACACUCUGUUUUCAUAGGUUACUCCAUCAAAACUCCUGUAAUUUUGUUCUCAAAACAAUUGUUAGUCACACUCUGUUUUUAUAGGUUACUCCAUCAAAACUCCUACCCAAACUGAUUUGUUCUCAAAACAAUCUCAUAAAAUAACAAUAGUGAACCACUAACAGAACUUCAACUCAAACUGUUCUUUGGUUGCUGAAAAAAAGGUUUGAAAAGAAAAUGAAAUAACAGAAAUUAAAUCUUAGCUUUUAAUUGGCUAUAAUGGAGAGAGUUAUCCUGUAAUUUUGCUUAGCAUAAUUUAAUUGAUUGACUAAUUUGGGUUAUUCUAUAGUUCUUUAGUAAUAGGAGCAACUAAAAUCAUGUUAUUCAAAUUUGUACUUUUUUUUUCAGUCUUCUCAGCAACCAAAUGGAGUGUUAGGUAUUUUGAAAAUAUUUAUGUGCAUUGAAUUAGGUAAAUUUUUUUGUUCAAUUUGAAAUCCAAAAUAAUAUAGAAGAUGAGAAUAAUUUUUAUUUUAGGUUUCUUCAGAAUGGCUGGAGUUUGGAUUUGCAUAUGUUCAAGCGAUUUAUUUGUUUGAUCUUAUGGAUAUUGAGGUAUGAAUCGGUAGAAGAUUGUGCAGACGAUGAUGAAGCAAAGCAGUGUGUAUGAAAAUCAUUUGAAUGCUGAGAACCUAUUAUAUUCGCAACAUGACACAAGAGAUCAACACCUUCAUCCGUAUAAGUUAGCUUGAGAUUUUCACAUGACAUGGAUGAUGAGUAUGAGAAAACUCAUCUGGGGAAUGAACCUGUCAAGAUAUCUUACGGAUUUUACCUCCCUGGCAAACAACGGCUGAUGUCACUUUUGAGAAGCUGAGAUCAGCUUACGGCAUGUCACAACAGUCCCACAAGCAGAUGCCCAACCUGUAUACAUCACAUGGGGCAAGUUUCAAUCUUUUUAGCUUCCAAUUAAUAUUUCGUGCUGAAAUUUGAUUGAAUUUAAUUUGGGUGUUUGGUGUCAUAUUGCUUAAGUCGAAUUGCAACUUGGGUAAUGAGAAAAAAAAAGUGGAUUUGAUCUCUGGUUACAAGUUGCAUGGAAAGCUGUGCAAGUCACUCUCUCUGCCAUUUAUUGCAAAAUAAUGUCAAUUUUUCCUUCUCUGGAAGCAGCUCGACAUUGGAGCAAGUUUGGUAUCCAAAAUGUAUGUUCGUUGCAUGUAGCACUUGAAACGAGUUAAGAAUGUUCUUCAGCAUUGCUCAAAAUGUAGUAAACUUUAUUUGGUAGGUAUUCCCUCAAUAUUGCAUUUGUAAUUUUUGCAGUAUUGCUACUCCAACUUUUCAAGUGAAAAAUUAAUUCCCCCCUCUAUUGUGGAGGAAUAGAUUUCUGUUUUGGUGUUUAAAGUUGUUUCAUUCAUGAUGAGUUUGUGUAUAAAUUGUACUAUGUGUAUAAUGGGCAAAUUAUUUUUUAUCGUUUAGGCUGUAAUGGAAUCGCAAAUUUGUCAAGUA